rnacentral:piRNA from 1 species
UGGUCUUUGUAGUUUGACAGCUCUCCGGA